GCAUGUCUCUGUGGCGCAAUCGGUUAGC
rnacentral:piRNA from 1 species